AACACGUGGGAACGUGCCUUUAGGUUCGGAAUAGCUCCUGGAAACGGGUGGUAAUGCCGAAUGUGCCCUUCGGGGGAAAGAUUUAUCGCCUUUAGAGCGGCCCGCGUCUGAUUAGCUAGUUGGUGAGGUAACGGCUCACCAAGGCGACGAUCAGUAGCUGGUCUGAGAGGAUGACCAGCCACACUGGGACUGAGACACGGCCCAGACUCCUACGGGAGGCAGCAGUGGGGAAUCUUGCGCAAUGGGCGAAAGCCUGACGCAGCCAUGCCGCGUGAAUGAUGAAGGUCUUAGGAUUGUAAAAUUCUUUCACCGGGGACGAUAAUGACGGUACCCGGAGAAGAAGCCCCGGCUAACUUCGUGCCAGCAGCCGCGGUAAUACGAAGGGGGCUAGCGUUGCUCGGAAUUACUGGGCGUAAAGGGCGCGUAGGCGGAUCGUUAAGUCAGAGGUGAAAUCCCAGGGCUCAAUCCUGGAACUGCCUUUGAUACUGGCGAUCUUGAGUAUGAGAGAGGUAUGUGGAACUCCGAGUGUAGAGGUGAAAUUCGUAGAUAUUCGGAAG
rnacentral:rRNA from 1 species